CUAUAACGACUCUCGGCAACGGAUAUCUCGGCUCUCGCAUCGAUGAAGAACGUAGCGAAAUGCGAUACUUGGUGUGAAUUGCAGAAUCCCGUGAACCAUCGAGUCUUUGAACGCAAGUUGCGCCCCAAGCCUUCUGGCCGAGGGCACGUCUGCCUGGGUGUCACAAAUCG
rnacentral:rRNA from 1 species